rnacentral:rRNA from 1 species
UACGUAGGAUCCGAGCGUUGUCCGGAUUUACUGGGUGUAAAGGGUGCGCAGGCGGAAUGGUAAGUCAGUGGUGAAAUCUCGUCGCUUAACGACGAAACUGCCUUUGAUACUAUCAUUCUUGAAUCCGGUAGAGAUCUGUGGAAUUCCGAGUGUAGCAGUGAAAUGUGUAGAUAUUCGGAAGAACACCAGUGGCGAAGGCAGCAGAUUGGGCCGGUAUUGACGCUCAGGCACGAAAGCAUGGGGAUCAAACAGG